rnacentral:lncRNA from 1 species
CUGGAUUCAGGCCAAAGGCAGUAAAUGGCACGAGAGCAAAGUUCAGAGCUGCCUUCAAUCCUCGUUCACAUAAUGAAAGCAUGAAAGCAGAUUCACACGAUGGAUGAACAUGAAAAGCCAAACAUAUCGAUCACUCCGUACAUCGCUGGCAACCAGCUGUUCUGGCAGCAGUCUUACAAGGGCUCUGCUGCAGUCAGACACAAGAUAAUGAGGAGCAAGCAGUGGAGCCCGGAUCGGAUGGUGGACUCUGUCCAGCAAACGCAUUUGCUGUGUGCCUGAAACCUGCUGCACAGAGGCAGAGGAGCUGUGGCAGUGCUGCAGGGAGCAUCAGGACGCCAGAGCUGCCCGAAGGGCCCAAACAUCCAAACCCUCUGCUUCCCUCGGGCUCUGCUGCACGACUAACAAAGCAGGUGGUGCGCAAGGUAAGACAGCAUUUCACGUUCGUUCUUCUCCGUGCAAUUAGGCAGAACGAGGCCUCCGCACAGGCAGGGCAGGCGCUGCAGGCAGGGAAGGCAGCGGCACGGGGCUGGCUGCAGCGUGCGGGCACGGAACAGUGCUGAGGCCGGUGUGGGCAGGGGCGCUGGAUGGAGAUCUGGGGGUGCUGGGCGAUGUAACCCCCACCAUUUUCUCUGCCUCUUCACGCUGUUUCCCAUCUCAGCACAAAUGCCCUUGGGUUUGCACAUUGGGUGCUCACUGCCAGCCCGCCAGCUCCCUUCCCUGCUCCAGGAGCCCUUGGGGAUGCUCCCAGGCCUGUGCCCCAUCCACCUCCCCGAAUCUGGAAGCCAGAUCUUUGCAGAUGGAGGCAGUGACCUCAAAUUGUCCCUGAGCACGGAUGGUCCUCUGGGAACUGAUUCAAGAGUCUGAGAG